rnacentral:lncRNA from 1 species
AGGACAUGAUUCGGACUUAAUUUUUUUAAAAUCAUCGAGCCUAAGUCCGCUCUGAAGCUCGAAAAAAUUAUCGAGCUGAGCUUGGAUAGGGGUGGGGGGCUUAGGGAGGCGAUCGAGGGCUCGGAAAGGCUAUGAUGACUGUCUAUGUAAGAUGCACCUAAAAAGUCUAAAGAGAGAUCGAUGGAGGUGAUGCAUUUCUGUUCCUAUUGUUAUAGUUGCAGGACAAGCUUGGAUGGCCUAUUACAUCGC